UAGCUGUGAUGAUAUUUGUGUUAAUUGUGGUGGCGGGUUCAUCACAAACACCUACUUCGUUGGUGAACAAUAGCACAUCUGAGCUU